rnacentral:rRNA from 1 species
CCUACGGGCGGCAGCAGUGGGGAAUAUUGCACAAUGGGGGAAACCCUGAUGCAGCAACGCCGCGUGAGUGAAGAAGGAUUUCGGUAUGUAAAGCUCUAUCAGCAGGGAAGAAGAUGACGGGACCUGAUUAAGAAGCCCCGGCUAACUACGUCCCAGCAGCCGCGGUAAUACGUAGGGGGCAAGCGUUCGCCUGAUUUACUGGGUGUAAAGGGAGCGCAGACGGCAGGGCAAGUCUGGAGUGAAAGCCCCGGGCCCAACCCCGGAACUGCUCUUGAAACUGGCCGGCUAGAGUACUGGAGGGGCAGGCGGAAUUCCUGGUGUAGCGGUGAAAUGCGUAGAUAUUAGGAGGAACACCAGUGGCGAAGGCGGCCUGCUGGACAGUAACUGACGUUGAGGCUCGAAAGCGUGGGGAGCAAACAGGAUUAGAUACCCGGGUAGUC